CCUAGAAAUAGCGCACCAUUUGCCCCAGCCCGAGGGGUAGUCGCGUCGCGGGUAGUUUCAGAUCCCGAAACCGGCCAGGGACUUACUUUGAGGAGCCGCAGAGUCACAAGCAUUGCUCCACGUCUGCAAAUCCCUGAACCCGAGCGGGUCAGACGCCGCUGUCCUCGCAGACGCCGGCCGGAGGAACCGGCACGGCUGCCUGCGCUCCGCAGCGCCAACUCCGCGCUGUCAGCUCCUCUCGCUGCCUCCGCGGCGAUGUUGCAACCACUGCCUGGGAAAAUGGCUUUUUUAUGAAUGGGAGGGAAGGGAGCUCCAGUGCGCACGCGCGCCGUUGGCGAUUCUAUGAAUGGGUGGGCACAAGAGACCCCGUGCGCGCAUGCGCUGCGCUCCUUUUUUUAUGAAUGGGGGGCCGGAAAAGAACUUAACCCGUGAUUGCUGGGGCUGACUCUAGCUCUUCCAGGGGCCGUCGUUCUUUUACAAAGGGGGGUGGAGGUUGUUGUUGACUUUUUUUUUUUUAUGAAUGGAGGGCGGCGGCGACUGCAGCAGCUGGCUCAGCUGCGCGGGCUGUACCCCCUCCCAGCCUGCGAGAGGAGGUACAACUGCUCUGCUAGAGGCAAAACCCUAACAACUGCGUUCCUGCCCGUGCUAACGACAGUCCUUUCACCGAGCCUCACUAUUCCAUUUCUCAGCUUCUGGAACAACAAGAGACACACAGGGAAGUCAGAACCUUUGAAGGCCAAUGCCACUCCCUUCACCCACCUCCACCACGAAGUAGCACUUUUGGGAAUUCUUCCAUCUCAGAAGAGCUUUGUCAUCUCUUACAUCAGUUGGAGCUGGCAGCUCUCAAAUCCAUCUUCUGCACCCCAGAAGUUCCGUGGGACACUCCCUGACUGAAGGGGGGGCAGCUGACCAGGUAAGAGACCGCCACUGAAACGGCACGCUGAGGAGAAAGUAACUGUGGAAGAGCGAUGGCACUAUUAACACCAGCUGGGACAAUCUGCAAAGAUGGCAUUGCCCAGAGUCUACCCUGGAUAGAAUUCCCAGGGCCUGGGGUAGUCUUUUAUGCUCCCCCUUUUAAUAGUUAUUUUUCUUUGUAAAUAGAAGUACCUUUAUCUUAAAAAAUUAAUACAUGAUUGUUGUCAACUUAAAUAAUAUGGAGAUUAAUACAGAAAAAGUAAAAGUAUACCAUUCAUACAUUACACACUUCCACUGUGUCCUGCCGUGCAUCUGCCCAGUCAUCACUGGACCAGUUUGGAGUCUGUCCUUCCAGAUGGUUUUGCUGGUUUCCUCUGUGUGUGUGUGGUGUUUACAUAAAUAUCAGUGAGAAGAUCCUAUCCUGUAUAUCCUGGUAUAUCACAGGCAUCUUCCUAGUCAAUCCAUAUGGCUCUCUUCUCCUUUUUAACAGCAGCACAGUAUUCCUCUGUAAGAAUGGACCAUCUUCCGUUUUUUCCAAUCUCUCUUUUAAUAGACUUUUUACUUCCCUUGGGAACGUGUCUCAGUUCCCAAUGACCACGCCCUCCUCUGGGUCCUGCCUCGGGGAACUGCACAAAUGGGAAGGUGGUCAAAGGGUGAAAAGGGCAGUGGUGGGCCCAUAUGGGAGAGUGUGGGGAUGGGUGAGUGUAUUCUAUCCUGGCCAUACUGGGAUACACAGGAAGUUUUUCUCUUUCUGGCUAAGGCAAAACCGUGCAUUUUAUGGGAANAGUGUAUUCUAUCCUGGCCAUACUGGGAUACACAGGAAGUUUUUCUCUUUCCGCCUCGCUCUGCCAAAUGGUUCCUCUGUCUGGCUAAGGCAAAACCGUGCAUUUUAUGGGAAUCAUCUUUGAAAGCGACCAAGAAGAUCAAUGUGGAGAAACAUAAAAGGCUGUUUUCUUAGAGUUACCCUCUAUCAUCUGCG
rnacentral:lncRNA from 1 species